AUUCCAAACUACAGAUGUAUAUGAUUGGCAAUUAUAUAUAUCAAUAUCAAUAGAGAAAUAAUAUGGGCUGCACUUCGAUUUAAUGAACAUAAAGAUUCAUUCAAUGAAUGGAGUCUCUGGCUGUACAAACGCACGUGGAUGUCGGCCAGUUUGCGGCGGGAUUUUGAAUUGUAUAUAUUGGACUAGAUUUAGAUUACACAUAACAUAAUAUUUAUGUAAAGAC